rnacentral:rRNA from 1 species
AUGCCUGGGAAUGAAUGCAAGUGGAUGUGGAUGGAACCGAACCCAGCCCGAGUGGUCUGUCCGUCCGUCCGCACUGGUCAACCAGCCAACCUGAACAACCCCUUCACAAACCCAAAUCUAAAUAAAUCCAAAUCCAAAUCCCUGGAUGCCCUCCGAAAAGGAAAUAAAGGCAGCAAGAUACACAGAGAUCUUCACAUCCAGCAGCCAGGUGAGGUGAGAGAGUGGCCCCGUUGGUUAUUUGGCCUGGUCGAUCGACGCCUUCCGCAUGUCAUGUCGAAGGCCAAGAUUCUUCACUCUAGUUGCCUUUAG